rnacentral:rRNA from 1 species
AGUGAACGCUGGCGGUAGGCCUAACACAUGCAAGUCGAACGGCAGCACAGUAAGAGCUUGCUCUUACGGGUGGCGAGUGGCGGACGGGUGAGGAAUACAUCGGAAUCUACUUUUUCGUGGGGGAUAACGUAGGGAAACUUACGCUAAUACCGCAUACGACCUACGGGUAAAAGCAGGGGAUCUUCGGACCUUGCGCGAUUGAAUGAGCCGAUGUCGGAUUAGCUAGUUGGCGGGGUAAAGGCCCACCAAGGCGACGCUCCGUAGCUGGUCUGAGAGGAUGAUCAGCCACACUGGAACUGAGACACGGUCCAGACUCCUACGGGAGGCAGCAGUGGGGAAUAUUGGACAAUGGGCGCAAGCCUGAUCCAGCCAUACCGCGUGGGUGAAGAAGGCCUUCGGGUGGUAAAGCCCUUUUGUUGGGAAAGAAAAGCAGCAGGUUAAUACCCCGCUGUUCUGACGGUACCCAAAGAAUAAGCACCGGCUAACUUCGU